CUGAGCUGCAGUGAAACCACAGAGAGCAAAGGUCAGAGCCAUAAACAUGACAGCAGCGCUGAUGUUUUUUCUUCCUGGGGGAGUGAAACAGAGGAACUGAAACAGACGAAAGAAAAGAAAGAUGGAACAAAACGGCCGAGAAGCAACCGGGACCUGAUUGCUGCAUCAGUCACUGAAGUGAAGUGUGGCUUCCUCUUCAAAAGCCACCCCCCUCAUCGCAGGCGACUCCAGCCAAUCACAGGCUUUGUUUACUGAGGUUGCUGGGACAACAGGAGGAAUAUGUGCCCCAUGCCAGGCUGACCUUGGGACACUUUUUCUCUCCGAUCACCAAUCACUCCGGCAUGUGUGUCUCACCCCGUCUGUCUUUUUAUUUCGAUACCAAUUGUUCUUUGUUAAAUAACAAAAGUGAACAAUGUUGCCAAAUCAGUUUCAGCUGAAACUUUUCCUGAACCUGGUAUCUGUCAGGGUUUUACCGUGUUCACAGUCUUCACGCAGGACAUUCUCUGCUUAUGUAAUAUGUAUUAAACCAGCUGACGAACUCUUGAGUUAUUUUUUAAUAAAUGGGUCCAGGUAAACUUU